rnacentral:rRNA from 1 species
UACAGAGGGUGCGAGCGUUAAUCGGAAUUACUGGGCGUAAAGCGCGUGUAGGCGGCCAUCUAAGUCGGGCGUGAAAUCCCACGGCUCAACCGUGGAAGUGCACUCGAAACUGGAUGGCUAGAGUCCUGGAGAGGAAGGUGGAAUGCUUGGUGUAGAGGUGAAAUUCGUAGAUAUCAAGCGGAACACCGGUGGCGAAGGCGGCCUUCUGGACAGUGACUGACGCUGAGACGCGAAAGCGUGGGGAGCAAACAGG